AGAGAGAGACAUGCGCGCAUAUCAAUAAGCGGAGGAAAAGAAACUAACAAGGAUUCCCUUAGUAACGGCGAGUGAAGCGGGAAGAGCUCAAAUUUGAAAUCUUCAAGGUUUUACCUUGACGAAUUGUAGUUUAAAGAAGUGUUUUCUGCUGAAGUUUUGGUAAAAGUUCUUUGGAAUAGGACAUCAUAGAGGGUGAGAAUCCCGUAUUUGACCAUUAUUUUCAGCUUUGUGAUACACUUUCAAAGAGUCGGAUUGUUUAGGAAUGCAGUCCAAAAUGGGUGGUAAAUUUCAUCUAAAGCUAAAUAUUGGCGAGAGACCGAUAGCGAACAAGUAGCCGUGAGGGAAAGAUGAAAAGAACUUUGAAAAGAGAGUUAAACAGUACGUGAAAUUGUCAAAAGGGAAGCGUUUGACACCAGUGUUGUUUUCUCGAAAAUCAAUUAAAAAUGGCUCGAUUUUGUAUUGUUGAGACCUUAAAAGCUCACUGUACAUUUUUCGUGUCUUUUUUAAUGCACUUUUCGUUUAACAAGUCAACAUCAGUUUCUUUUGUUGUAAAAGGGUCAUUGGAAGGUGGCUUUCUUUUCGGAGAAAGUGUUUAUAGCCUUUGGCCUCUGCAAUCGGAGAGACUGAGGUCUGCAGCGUAGACUCUUCGGGGUUAGAUACAUUUGUGCUAAGUUAUAGCUUUUUAUAGACAACUUGUUGACUAUAAUUAGUCUUGUAGCUUACUCGCUUAUGCUAUUUUACCUACGCUUAGGAUGUUGAAGAUGUAGCACAUCAU
rnacentral:rRNA from 1 species